rnacentral:lncRNA from 1 species
GCAAUUUCGACAUUUCAGUCAACUAAGCUAGGAUUUAUGGACUAACUUAGGUGUAUUUUAUAUGUAAGUAAAUGCAACUUUUAAAAUUGAAUAUGUUGGUAGUCACAUUCAAAAAGAGAAUUUAUUUUUUCACAUUAGGUUGCAUAGUGAACAGUUUGUAGGACAGUCCACGUUAGGUCUCUUUUCAAAGAUGGUUUUGAUUCAUAGUGUUUGAUUCAUGGUGGUCUUAAGCAGCCGCCAGCGUCCAUCCACCAUCGCGGACUGUGUUGUUUGAUUCAUGGUGGUUUUUCCUCCGUGUUAACUGUUGUGAUGUGGUUGCGUGAGAGCCAUGUAGUGGUAGUUUGUGUUGUGUGCUAAUUGGUCUCAGGUGUUGCGCCGCCUUCAACAACCAUCAUCAUUUAAUUAGUUCGGUGAUCGGUCAUUGUUGUUCAGCUGGUAUGGUGGUUUUAUGUUGUUGUAUAUCUUACCUCGCCUUCACUACCUCUAUCUAAAACAUUGUGCCUCUGCUAUUGUGCGGUUUGUUUUGGAUUUGUUGUUGUCAUAGGUUGUUAACUGCUAUGUUUUCAUUUUUAUGGCCGUCACCUUGUUCCAUCACGUUGCUUCUCUCUGUUGCCGGAGUCACGGCUUUUCCUUUGGAUCGCAUCUGUGGCUUAUGCAUCACGUUCUGGUUGCUCUGCGUCAGAUUAUGUUAUUGUUUGUAAGAAUAAUAGACCUUGCCUUUUCAUUACAUUGUGAUAGGUUAUAUACAAAGAGAGUUUUCUAUACAAUCAUGACUCAUCAAAUACAAUUAUUGACUAAUCAAAUAUAAUUAUUACUAAUCAAAUAUAAUUAUUGCUAAUCAAAUACAAUAAUAGUCUAAUACACCCCCUAGUCGAAACUGGAGAUUGACGAAUGUUGAGACUAUCACGAAAAUCUUCAAAGAGUUGCAAUGGAAGUCCUUUGGUAAAUAUGUCAGCAAUCUGGUAACGAG